rnacentral:misc_RNA from 1 species
CUUGGAUCCAAGUUCUUAUCAAAUGUUUCUGUGUCUCCCACACAUAAGCUAUUCGUGUUCGCAGCAGUUAUUCCCAUAUUGCUACCAACUAACGAAGAACCUUCCUGGGCUGACCCAGAUGAGUUCAUGCUGCUAGCAGAAUAUCCGGCAAAUCCUCUAAGGAGAAUUGGAUCGAUCGAAUUAUCGCUGAUCUUGGUACCCAUUUCUGCAGCUUUCUGUAACAGGGCUCUUGCAGAAGUACAAG